UAACGAAUCUUCCGCAAUGCACGAAAGUGUGACGGAGCGACGCCGCGUGUAGGACGAAGCCCUUCGGGGUGUAAACUACUGUCAGGGGUUAGAAAGUUCUGAUCAACCCCAGAGGAAGGCACGGCUAACUCUGUGCCAGCAGCCGCGGUAAGACAGAGGUGCCGAGCGUUAGGCGGAAUCACUGGGCUUAAAGCGUGUGUAGGCGGAUCGUUAAGUACCUUGUGAAAUCCCAUGGCUCAACCAUGGAACUGCUUGGUAUACUGGCGGUCUUGAGCCAGCUAGGGGCUACCGGAACAAAUGGUGGAGCGGUGAAAUGCGUAGAUAUCAUUUGGAACGCCAAUGGUGAAAACAGGUAGCUGGGGCUGUGCUGACGCUGAGACACGAAAGCCAGGGGAGCGAACGGGAUUAGAUACCCCCGUAGUCC
rnacentral:rRNA from 1 species